GGCUUUCCCUUCGGGGACAGAGUGACAGGUGGUGCAUGGUUGUCGUCAGCUCGUGUCGUGAGAUGUUGGGUUAAGUCCCGCAACGAGCGCAACCCUUGAUCUUAGUUGCCAGCAUUUAGUUGGGCACUCUAAGGUGACUGCCGGUGACAAACCGGAGGAAGGUGGGGAUGACGUCAAAUCAUCAUGCCCCUUAUGACCUGGGCUACACACGUGCUACAAUGGACAGAACAAAGGGCUGCGANNCCGCAAGGUUNAGCCAAUCCCAUANNNNUGUUCUCAGUUCGGAUNGCAGUCUGCAACUCGACUGCGUGAAGCUGGAAUCGCUAGUAAUCGNNGAUCAGCAUGCCGCGGUGAAUACGUUCCCGGNNNUUGUACACACCGCCCGUCACACCACGAGAGUUUGUAACACCCGAAGNCGGUNA
rnacentral:rRNA from 1 species